rnacentral:rRNA from 1 species
GUGUCAGCCGCCGCGGUAAUACGUAGGUGGCAAGCGUUGUCCGGAAUUAUUGGGCGUAAAGCGCGCGCAGGCGGUCUCUUAAGUCUGAUGUGAAAGCCCACGGCUCAACCGUGGAGGGUCAUUGGAAACUGGGGGACUUGAGUGCAGAAGAGGAAAGUGGAAUUCCACGUGUAGCGGUGAAAUGCGUAGAGAUGUGGAGGAGCACCAGUGGCGAAGGCGACUUUCUGGUCUGUAACUGACGCUGAGGCGCGAAAGCGUGGGGAGCAAACA